rnacentral:sRNA from 1 species
AGUAAGUCCCUAGGCCUCCAUCUCUCUCCCUUGCUGUACCACCUUCACCACCAUCCAUGCGACCCCAAGAGCCUUAAUGACUCUAGAAGAGACUCCAGGCAGGAGAAGCUGAAAGGACCUUUCACUCCCUACUUUUGGCCAGGGCCUUCUGUGCCACCUGCCAAGGCCAGCAGGCCUACCCUCUGAAGAGGUCCAAGCAACGGAAGUACUACUACGAAGCUGCCUUUCUGGCCAUCCUUGAGAAAAACAGACAGAUGGCCAAGGAGAGGGGCCUAAUAAGCCCCAGUGAUUUUGCCCAGCUGCAAAAAUACAUGGAAUGUGAGUCUUCCUGUCAGGCCUUCAGUUCGGGAGACCCUGCCCCAGAGAAUCCCUCCUCCUCAUCAUUACACCCCCUGCCCCCAGCUUCCUCAGUGGCUUUGAGCAGUGUGCUGCUCAGAUGUGCCCAUGACUGGAAAUGGGAGGAGUGGGAGAUGGGGAGAUGUCAGAAAAAGAUCCGGAUCUACCACAGUCUAACUGGGCUGCAUUGUGCAAGGUCUCAGCUCUCUACCCACCUUCGCUAUACCUGGACUGCUUGCUCCAGCUCUCAGAGAAGAGGAGUAAAGAGUGGUACUG